UGGGGAAUUUUGGACAAUGGGCGAAAGCCUGAUCCAGCAAUGCCGCGUGUGUGAAGAAGGCCUUCGGGUUGUAAAGCACUUUUGUCCGGAAAGAAAUCCUUGGCUCUAAUACAGUCGGGGGAUGACGGUACCGGAAGAAUAAGCACCGGCUAACUACGUGCCAGCAGCCGCGGUAAUACGUAGGGUGCAAGCGUUAAUCGGAAUUACUGGGCGUAAAGCGUGCGCAGGCGGUUUGCUAAGACCGAUGUGAAAUCCCCGGGCUCAACCUGGGAACUGCAUUGGUGACUGGCAGGCUAGAGUAUGGCAGAGGGGGGUAGAAUUCCACGUGUAGCAGUGAAAUGCGUAGAGAUGUGGAGGAAUACCGAUGGCGAAGGCAGCCCCCUGGGCCAAUACUGACGCUCAUGCACGAAAGCGUGGGGAGCAAACAGGAUUAGAUACCCUGGUAGUCCACGCCCUAAANGAUGUCAACUAGUUGUUGGGGAUUCAUUUCCUUAGUAACGUAGCUAACGCGUGAAGUUGACCGCCUGGGGAGUACGGUCGCAAGAUUAAAACUUAAAUGAAUUGACGGGGUCAUAGCUGUUUCCU
rnacentral:rRNA from 1 species